rnacentral:tRNA from 1 species
GGGGGUAUAGCUCAGCUGGGAGAGCACCUGCCCUGCAAGCAGGGGGUCAUGGGUUCGAAUCCCAUUAUCUCCA